UUUGUUUGUGCUAUCUAAAUCACGAAAGAAAAAAUUUGAGUUCAGUGUCCCUUUAAGUAUCAGUGAUAUAGGGAUGCUUUUAAACACAAGCAUUUAGCUUCUCCAUUUCUUAAAAAUCAAUGUCAGCACAUGAUACAUUUAAAGACAUACAUAUACAUGUUACCUAUUGUGAAUACUAUUGUAUCAGGAUAUGCCUGAUGAAACAGCGAGGAAGCUGAGAAACGCGUUGCAAUAUUUUAUUACAUAGAGGUUAUUGUCACACCCUAUAUUUUUAAAUUAUUGUGUUUUAUUAAAACCUAUUUUUGAUACCAAACUUGUCUGAGAGCCUGAGUCUUGCCUUUCAGGUUGGGUAGACGCCCGGAGCAGAGGUGUACAAGAACCAAGGAGCAGUGAGCUGGGACAGAGAGAUCCCAGUAGGUGUUACUAAGCACAAGUGGGUGCUGCUACCAUUAAUUCGUUAUUCGUUCCAUUGCUAUAUUGGGAAGGAGCAACCGGCAGUUGGGAGCACAGAAUAUCUUGUAGUCCCAGAGAGGGACAUUUCUAUUUCCCAGACCAUUUACAUGGACUAACAAGAUAAGAAGUACUUUUGACAAAAGUCUGUUAUAUUUAUAUUUUGUGGAUCUGGGCUAAAAAAGAUUUGUUUAUUGAUUUGUGUAUACGUAUAUACGUGUUUAUAUAUAUUUUUUACUAUUAAGUCAUUAUAAAGUUUAUAUUAUUUGUGCAUAUUGCACCCCCUUUAGUGGUGACAAGGUAUUGUCACUAGUAUUGUUGAAUACUAUUGUAAAAGCUAAAAAUAAAGCAAAAAUGAAAUGCA